AAGCGAUUAACUCAAUAGGUAGAGUAUUUCAUUUACAAUGAAGUGGUUAAUGGUUCGAGUCCAUUAUUGCUUA
rnacentral:tRNA from 1 species